rnacentral:rRNA from 1 species
ACGGAAGGCAGCAGUGAGGAAUAUUGGUCAAUGGGCGGAAGCCUGAACCAGCCAAGUCGCGUGAAGGAUGAAGGUAUUAUGUAUUGUAAACUUCUUUAGCAGCAGAGUAAUAAGGGAGUCGAGACUCUUGAUGCAAGUAUGCUGAAAAUAAGGAUCGGCUAACUCCGUGCCAGCAGCCGCGGUAAUACGGAGGAUCCGAGCGUUAUCCGGAUUUAUUGGGUUUAAAGGGUGCGCAGGCGGCUUUUUAAGUCAGCGGUUAAAUCGUGAGGCUCAACCUCAUCUCGCCGUUGAUACUGGAGAGCUUGAUUGCGGUCGAGGUUGGCGGAAUUCGUCGUGUAGCGGUGAAAUGCAUAGAUAUGACGAAGAACACCGAUUGCGUAGGCUGCUGACCAGUCCGUAAAUGACGCUCAUGCACGAAAGUGCGGGGAUCGAACAGGAUUAGAUACCCUGGUA